GCAUAUCAAUAAGCGGAGGAAAAGAAACUAACAAGGGAUUCCCCUAGUAGCGGCGAGCGAAGCGGGAAAAGCUCAAAUUUGUAAUCUGGCGUCUACGACGUCCGAGUUGUAAUCUCGAGAAGUGUUUUCCGUGAUAGACCGCAUACAAGUCUCUUGGAACAGAGCGUCAUAGUGGUGAGAACCCAGUACACGAUGCGGAUGCCUAUUACUUUGUGAUACACUUUCGAAGAGUCGAGUUGUUUGGGAAUGCAGCUCAAAUUGGGUGGUAAAUUCCAUCUAAAGCUAAAUAUUGGCGAGAGACCGAUAGCGAACAAGUACCGUGAGGGAAAGAUGAAAAGCACUUUGGAAAGAGAGUUAACAGUACGUGAAAUUGUUGGAAGGGAAACACAUGCAGCCAGACUUGCUAUUCGGGGCAACUCGAUUGGCAGGCCCGCAUCAGUUUUUCGGGGCGGAAAAUCAUAGAGAGAAGGUAGCAAUUUCGGUUGUGUUAUAGCUCUUUAUUGGAUUCGCCCUGGGGGACUGAGGAACGCAGCGUGCUUUUAGCAUAAGCUUCGGCUUAUCCACGCUUAGGAUGCGGGUGUAAUGGCUGUAUAUGACCCGUCUUGAAACACGGACC
rnacentral:rRNA from 1 species